rnacentral:misc_RNA from 1 species
AGAAUAUCAAUGUCAUCAAGUGCCAAGAAGUCAAGAAGAAACAUCAUUCAAAAGAAACGUGAGAAGUUUAAACCAAGAAGUUUCUUUAUCAAAUUAAUAGAGUGAGAAGGCAUUGCCAUGCAUGGGUUCUCUCUAUGCAGACGAGAAUUUAAGGGUCUCUGUUCUUGUCCCCGAACCAACUUUUGAUCCACUGAAUGAAAUCCUCACCAUCAAAUGUCCUAUUUUAAGUUUUCUGUUGA